CUUCAACGACCCCAGCCACAAAGGCCGCUCACGACCCUGCCCGUACGUCGCCAACAACGCCUGCGCCUC
rfam:Streptomyces turgidiscabies Car8 gcontig_1113219321333, whole genome shotgun sequence.